rnacentral:rRNA from 1 species
GCUCAGGAUGAACGCUGGCGGCGUGCCUAAUACAUGCAAGUCGAGCGAACAUUAAGGAGCUUGCUCCUUUGACGUAGCGGCGGACGGGUGAGUAACACGUGAUUACCUACCUAUAAGACUGUAAAACUCCGAGAAACCAGGGAUAAUGCCGGAUAACAUUUAGUAUCGCAUGGUUCUAAAGUGAAAGAUGGUUUUGCUAUCAUUUAUAGAUGGACCCGCGCCGUAUUAGCUAGUUGGUAAGGUAAUGGCUUACCAAGUCAACGAUACGUAGCCGACCUGAGAGGGUGAUCGUCCACACUGGAACUGAGACGCGGUUCAGACUCCUACGGGAGGCAGCAGUAGGGAAUCUUCCGCAAUGGGCGAAAGCCUGACGGAGCAACGCCGCGUGAGUGAUGAAGGGUUUCGGCUCGUAAAACUCUGUUAUUAGGGAAGAACAAACGUGUAAGUAACUGUGCACGUCUUGACGGUACCUAAUCAGAAAGCCACGGCUAACUACGUGCCAGCAGCCGCGGUAAUACGUAGGUGGCAAGCGUUAUCCGGAAUUAUUGGGCGUAAAGCGCGCGUAGGCGGUUUCUUAAGUCUGAUGUGAAAGCCCACGGCUCAACCGUGGAGGGUCAUUGGAAACUGGGAGACUUGAGUGCAGAAGAGGAAAGUGGAAUUCCAUGUGUAGCGGUGAAAUGCGCAGAGAUAUGGAGGAACACCAGUGGCGAAGGCGACUUUCUGGUCCGUAACUGACGCUGAUGUGCGAAAGCGUGGGGAUCAAACAGGAUUAGAUACCCUGGUAGUCCACGCCGUAAACGAUAAGGGCUAAGUGUUAGGGGGUUUCCGCCCCUUAGUGCCGCAGCUAACGCGAUUAAAGCC